rnacentral:rRNA from 1 species
GACGAACGCUGGCGGCGUGCCUAAUACAUGCAAGUCGAACGAACCGCGACUAAGUGCUUGCACUAAGUCAAGGUGAGUGGCGAACGGGUGAGUAACACGUGGGUAACCUACCUCAUAGUGGGGGAUAACAGUCGGAAACGACUGCUAAUACCGCAUAGGACAUAGGAUCACAUGAUCCAGUGAGGAAAGGUGGCGCAAGCUAUCGCUAAGAGAUGGACCCGCGGUGCAUUAGCUAGUUGGUAGGGUAAAGGCCUACCAAGGCGAUGAUGCAUAGCCGACCUGAGAGGGUGAUCGGCCACAUUGGGACUGAGACACGGCCCAAAGUCCUACGGGAGGCAGCAGUAGGGAAUCUUCCGCAAUGGACGCAAGUCUGACGGAGCAACGCCGCGUGAGUGAAGAAGGUCUUCGGAUCGUAAAGCUCUGUUGUUAGAGAAGAACAGCGCAUAGAGUAACUGCUAUGCGUGUGACGGUAUCUAACCAGAAAGCCACGGCUAACUACGUG